rnacentral:lncRNA from 1 species
UGGUUGAGGCACAUUCGACCAAACUCAACUUUUUCUCUUUGGAAACUUUGGUAGAGUGGAGCUUUUUCUCACCAUCCAACUUCUUCUUAAGUAUUAUUUGAUCCUCUCGCACUUGUGAUGGUGUAAGAGGGCUCAAGAUAAUCUUUUUGCCUUUAUGUUGAAUGGUUAUCUUGUUGGUGACUCCAUCAUGUAAAGCUUGUUUGUCAAAUUNCCAAGGCCGUCCAAGUAANAUGUGACCCGC